GGGAAUGUAGCUUAGUGGUAGAGUGCUUGCCUAGUAUGCAUGAAGCCCUGGGUUCGAUUCCUCAGUACCA
rnacentral:tRNA from 1 species